GUCCAGUCCGAUUGGCGCCCACGAAUUUAAUUCUUUCGUACAAUGGAAUAGCCAUUUCAUUUCAGAUGAGUAUAGCUUCGUAUUUUACGCUGCAUCUAAAAGUAAAUUAGAAACGCUCUUCCCCCCAACGCUCCUCAGAGACGAAGAGGGAGAGAGAUGGGGGCGAAAUUGGUUCCAUUUGCAGUCAUGAUAGCGGUGCAAUGCUUGAAUAUAGGGAUGACAACACUGAGCAAAGCAGCCCUGUCUAAGGGGAUGAGUCAUUUUGUCUUCGUCCUCUACUCAAUGCCUUGGCCACGCUCAUCCUCCUUCCUUCUUCCUUCAUCUUUCGCAGCUUGGAAAAACUAGAUCUGAGAAACUUAAGCGACCAAGUCAAAAUCGUGGGGACUUUAGUGUCCAUCUCAGGGGCUUUGAUACUGAUAGUUACCCUGUACAAGGAGGGCCCAUCCAUCAGAUUCGGAAGAACCACCCCAUCUUCAUCACCACCACUUCCUCUAUCCUUGACUGAAUCCUUGGUGCACUAUUCUUCGCAGUUGCUUCUUUAUCGGCUUCUAUUUGGAACACUUUUCAGACAGUGAUUGUUAGAGGGUACCCAGACGAGAUGACCAUUAGACUCCUAUACAUUUUUUGGGACCAUCCAAACUGCAGUACUUUGUUUGAUUGCAGAAAGAGAUCCCAGUGGGUUGGACUCUAGAGCCAGGUGUAAAACUCAUCUCAGUUGUCUACUCGGCUGCUUUUGGAAGUGUAAUAACUCCUUUGGUUAUCACCUGGUGCAUAGAAAAGAAAGGGCCAGUAUUUGCAGCCAUGUUCAAUUCUCGCCCUUAGGAAUCGUUAUUGCAGCAUUAAUGGGUGUCAUAUUCCUUGGUGAUAGUGAUACGCUCCAUCUCGGAAGUGUGGUGGGUUCAGCUAUAAUUGCAGUGGGGUUUUAUGGUGUGAUAUGGGGACAAUCUAAAGAAGAGACAAAAUGUGAAGAUAAGGAAGUUGAUGGCUUUGGAGACUCAGUAGACCAAACCCCUUUCUUGUCGACGUACAGAGAGCUGGUGGUAUAAUAUAAUAUUAGAAGUCAAAGCAAAAAAUCAGAAUGCGAUUGGUUGCUUUUCUUAAUUAAUUAGUUAGUUGUAGAGGUUAUCUUUCUUUUUCUUGUCUUAAUUAGGGUGCAAUCUCUCUGAUCAGUGUAAAAUCAUGCAUCUACUGACUCUUGUCUUGACUCUACCCAAUAUGUUAGUG